rnacentral:rRNA from 1 species
UACGGGGGGAGCAAGCGUUGUUCGGAUUUACUGGGCGUAAAGGGCGCGUAGGCGGCGCAACAAGUCACUUGUGAAAUCUCCGGGCUUAACCCGGAGCGGCCAAGUGAUACUGUCGUGCUAGAGUGCGGAAGGGGCUACUGGAAUUCUCGGUGUAGCGGUGAAAUGCGUAGAUAUCUGGAGGAACACCGGUGGCGAAGGCGGCAUCCUGGACCGGCAUUGACGCUGAGGCGCGAAAGCUAGGGGAGCAAACGGG